rnacentral:rRNA from 1 species
GUCAAGUCAUCAUGCCCCUUAUGACCUGGGCUACACACGUGCUACAAUGGCCGGUACAACGCGCAGCGAGCCUGCGAGGGUAAGCAAAUCGCUUAAAACCGGUCUCAGUUCAGAUCGGAGUCUGCAACUCGACUCCAUGAAGUCGGAAUCGCUAGUAAUCGCAGAUCAGCAUUGCUGCGGUGAAUACGUUCCCGGGUCUU